GGAUCCAGACUUUGAUUCUGGCUCACGAUGAACGCUAGCUACAGGCUUAACACAUGCAAGUCGAGGGGCAGCGGGAUUGAAGCUUGCUUCAAUUGCCGGCGACCGGCGUACGGGUGAGUAACGCGUAUCCAACCUUCCGUACACUCAGGGAUAGCCUUUCGAAAGAAAGAUUAAUACCUGAUAGUAUCUUAAGCACACAUGUAAUUAAGAUUAAAGAUUUAUCGGUGUACGAUGGGGAUGCGUUCCAUUAGGUAGUAGGCGGGGUAACGGCCCACCUAGCCAACGGUGGAUAGGGGUUCUGAGAGGAAGGUCCCCCACAUUGGAACUGAGACACGGUCCAAACUCCUACGGGAGGCAGCAGUGGGGAAUAUUGGUCAAUGGACGAGAGUCUGAACCAGCCAAGUAGCGUGAAGGAUGAAGGUCCUACGGAUUGUAAACUUCUUUUAUAAGGGAAUAAACCCUCCCACGUGUGGGAGCUUGUAUGUACCUUAUGAAUAAGCAUCGGCUAACUCCGUGCCAGCAGCCGCGGUAAUACGGAGGAUGCGAGCGUUAUCCGGAUUUAUUGGGUUUAAAGGGAGCGCAGACGGGUCGUUAAGUCAGCUGUGAAAGUUUGGGGCUCAACCUUAAAAUUGCAGUUGAUACUGGCGUCCUUGAGUGCGGUUGAGGUGUGCGGAAUUCGUGGUGUAGCGGUGAAAUGCUUAGAUAUCACGAAGAACUCCGAUUGCGGAGGCAGCACACUAAUCCGUAACUGACGUUCAUGCUCGAAAGUGUGGGUAUCAAACAGGAUUAGAUACCCUGGUAGUCCACACGGUAAACGAUGGAUACUCGCUGUUGGCGAUAUACUGUCAGCGGCUUAGCGAAAGCGUUAAGUAUCCCACCUGGGGAGUACGCCGGCAACGGUGCAACUCAAAGGAAUUGACGG
rnacentral:rRNA from 1 species